GCCGGGAUAGCUCAGCUGGUAGAGCAGAGGACUGAAAAUCCUCGUGUC
rnacentral:tRNA from 5 species